rnacentral:lncRNA from 1 species
UUUUAAUGUUCAUAUGAUGUUAAUUUUAUAAGAAAUUGAGUGUUGGAUGAUUGUUUUGUGGUUAUAUUGCUUUAUCUUGUGAAACAUGAUUCUUGCUCGAACUUUGAAGGAAUUUACAGGAUUAUUGAGUUCGAUUUUGGAAAAAUGAUCUGAAAUAGAAGUUGUAGUUCGUCUCGAGGGGAGUUCGUGAGCGUAAAUGGAUUGCAAAUCGGAGUUCGGACGAGGGAAUAUGACCGAAAAAAGGAAAUUGCGCGUAGUAGUGGCGACCCAGCGGCGAGCGCCAGAUGAAGAAGGAUUUUUGCACCAACAUCGGCGAUCCAGCUGGCGACCCAGCCGGCGACCACCGAGAAGGUGGCCGGAAAGUGCCUAUUUUUGUCCUAGAACGCGGCGGUCGCCGCCGAGGCCACCGCAGGUCCGGAAAUUUGAUAUUUUAGGCGUUUUCUAUGUUAUUUUCGAGUUCAAACUCUGUAUUUUACCCUGACACUAUAUAUAGGUCUUCUUUUGACCUAUUUAGGGUCCCAACUUUAGUUUUUCAAUUUUAU